rnacentral:rRNA from 1 species
AUUGAACGCUGGCGGCAGGCUUAACACAUGCAAGUCGAGCGGAGUGAUGGUGCUUGCACUAUCACUUAGCGGCGGACGGGUGAGUAAUGCUUAGGAAUCUGCCUAUUAGUGGGGGACAACAUCUCGAAAGGGAUGCUAAUACCGCAUACGUCCUACGGGAGAAAGCAGGGGAUCACUUGUGACCUUGCGCUAAUAGAUGAGCCUAAGUCGGAUUAGCUAGUUGGUGGGGUAAAGGCCUACCAAGGCGACGAUCUGUAGCGGGUCUGAGAGGAUGAUCCGCCACACUGGGACUGAGACACGGCCCAGACUCCUACGGGAGGCAGCAGAGGGGAAUAUUGGACAAUGGGGGGAACCCUGAUCCAGCCAUGCCGCGUGUGUGAAGAAGGCCUUAUGGUUGUAAAGCACUUUAAGCGAGGAGGAGGCUCUUUUGGUUAAUACCCAAGAUGAGUGGACGUUACUCGCAGAAUAAGCACCGGCUAACCCUGUGCCAGCAGCCGCGGUAAUAC